rnacentral:lncRNA from 1 species
CCUGCACCAGCCAACACAGCCCUACGUUGGAGCAAAACUGAGCACACCUGGCCCUGCCCCUUGGGAACACAGCACGGUGUAUCAUCACCUCCCUGGGCUGCAGUGUGGGGAACACAGCACGGUGUCUCACCUCCCUGGGCUGCAGUGUGGGGAACACAGCACAGUGUAUCAUCACCUCCCUGGGCUGCAGUGUGGUCCUCUGCCUACUUCCUUCUUUUCUUCCUUUUUCUCCCCCCCCCCCCACCUCUGUGCAUCUGUCUCUUUCUCCCUCCAUCUCCUCACAAGGCCAUUCUGUGCUCUCUUCCCUUCUCCCUUCCCUUCUCCCAGUAAAACUUCCCAUGUAAGCUCUGUCUGCAUGGCAUGUUUGUCCCUCAACCUGCUGUGGUUUGGACUCAACCUGCUAUGGUCUCUCCAGUGCAAAAUCAUAACACCUGGUUCUGCAGAAGUCCUUAAAACAAAAAUGCAAACAAGCAUAGAAAAUGUCAUCAAUUGUGUGAAUUGUUUCUGGAGGACUGACUAGGAGGCUAUUCAAGAUCUCUGGGAGUGCUCACUAUUAAUUGUGGAGCCAUCUCUCCAGCCCUGAGAAGAAGACCUGAAGAGGAAAUAAAAGUGACUGCGGAUUCAGUUAUAUGGACCUAUACCUGUAGUAAGAUUGAAAAAAAAAACCAGGUACACAGACACACAGACACGACUAUAAAGCUGGUAAGUUCUAACUAUGACAUAAGGAACUCAAUCUUAAUAUUACCUAUACUUAUGCAAUAUGUUACAUAAUGGCACAUAAGGCCUUCCCAUGCUACUUUGUAGACUAUGUGUUAUUCUGUAACCUUUUAAAUAAAAGUCAAAGAAAUAAAGAC